rnacentral:rRNA from 1 species
UCAAUCUAGUGGCGAACGGGUGAGUAACACGUGGGUAACCUGCCCAUCAGAGGGGGAUACAUUCGGAAACGGAUGCUAAAACCGCAUAGGUUCUUGAGUCGCAUGACUCAAGAAGGAAAAGAGGCUUCGGCUUCUGCUGAUGGAUGGACCCGCGGUGCAUUAGCUAGUUGGUGAGGUAACGGCUCACCAAGGCCGUGAUGCAUAGCCGACCUGAGAGGGUGAUCGGCCACAUUGGGACUGAGACACGGCCCAAACUCCUACGGGAGGCAGCAGUAGGGAAUCUUCCGCAAUGGACGCAAGUCUGACGGAGCAACGCCGCGUGAGUGAAGAAGGAUUUCGGUUCGUAAAACUCUGUUGCUAGAGAAGAACAGCGCAUAGAGUAACUGUUAUGCGUGUGACGGUAUCUAACCAGAAAGCCACGGCUAACUACGUGCCAGCAGCCGCGGUAAUACGUAGGUGGCAAGCGUUGUCCGGAUUUAUUGGGCGUAAAGCGAGCGCAGGCGGUCAAUUAAGUCUGAUGUGAAAGCCCCCGGCUCAACCGGGGAGGGUCAUUGGAAACUGAUUGACUUGAGUGCAGAAGAGGAGAGUGGAAUUCCAUGUGUAGCGGUGAAAUGCGUAGAUAUAUGGAGGAACACCAGUGGCGAAGGCGACUCUCUGGUCUGUAAC